AAGCUCUGCGAACACCAAGCCAUGGAUCUCUAGGAAGCCGAAUAGUUACAAACCCGUGGCAAAGACUCGGAAGGACCAUUUAUAAAUUCAUUGGGGCGCUGCUUUGACAUUUAGUUAAAGCUAUAUAUUUUACUACCAUUUACUAGACGCAAAAUACACUGUUCCAUCCGCGAGAUUUUUAAUGCUUUGAUAAAAUGUGCAAGCUAUAUAUUUUUUAUGCAAAUAACUACACUGUGCAAUACCUGAAACUCCUGAGCCCGAGAACCCUGCCCUUCUGGAGUUAAUUUUUGUUUACCAAUUACUACACUACACUAACCCUGAGACGUCCAAAGCCGAUCUGGAAGCGGGUGCUUUCAGAUCCCUGGUAAAAACUCUGAAAGACACAUCCACGAAUCGAUUGGUUGGAGUUCUAUAUUUUACUACCAUUACUAAAUACCAAAUAUACUGUUGGAUCUCUGAGAUGUUGAAUGCUUUGACAAAAUGUGCAAGGUAUGCACUUUUUUAUACACAAAUACAAAUGUAUACGCCCGAAAACACUGCCCUCUGCUGUAACUAUUGAUUGGCCCCGAACGAUUAGUUACGAGAAGUACUCCCUUGAAGAAUGGAAAAUAUAAAUCUACAAUAACGAAUGCAAAGAAUCUACACAAAUUUCUGGUACAAACUCUGAAGGACACAUCCACGAAUAAAUAAGGGUUCUGCUUUGACAUUUAGUUGGAGUUCUAUAUUUUACUACCAUUACUAAAUACCAAAUAUACUGUUGGAUCUCUGAGAUGUUGAAUGCUUUGACAAAAUGUGCAAGGUAUACACUUUUUUAUACAAAUACAAAUGUAUACGCCCGAAAACACUGCCCUCUGCUGUAACUAUUGAUUGGCCCCGAACGAUUAGUUACGAGAAGUACUCCCUUGAAGAAUGGAAAAUAUAAAUCUACAAUAACGAAUGCAAAGAAUCUACACAAAUUUCUGGUACAAACUCUGAAGGACACAUCCACGAAUCAAUUGGGGUUCUGCUUUGACAUUUAGUUGGAGUUCUAUAUUUUACUACCAUUACUAAAUACCAAAUAUACUGUUGGAUCUCUGAGAUGUUGAAUGCUUUGACAAAAUGUGCAAGGUAUACACUUUUUUAUACAAAUACAAAUGUAUACGCCCGAAAACACUGCCCUCUGCUGUAACUAUUGAUUGGCCCCGAACGAUUAGUUACGAGAAGUACUCCCUUGAAGAAUGGAAAAUAUAAAUCUACAAUAACGAAUGCAAAGAAUCUACACAAAUUUCUGGUACAAACUCUGAAGGACACAUCCACGAAUCAAUUGGAGGGUUCUGCUUUGACAUUUAGUUGGAGUUCUAUAUUUUACUACCAUUACUAAAUACCAAAUAUACUGUUGGAUCUCUGAGAUGUUGAAUGCUUUGACAAAAUGUGCAAGGUAUACACUUUUUUAUACAAAUACAAAUGUAUGCGCCCGAAAACACUGCCCUCUGCUGUAACUAUUGAUUGGCCCCGAACGAUUAGUUACGAGAAGUACUCCCUUGAAGAAUGGAAAAUAUAAAUCUACAAUAACGAAUGCAAAGAAUCUACACAAAUUUCUGGUACAAACUCUGAAGGACACAUCCACGAAUCAAUUGGGGUUCUGCUUUGACAUUUAGUUGGAGUUCUAUAUUUUACUACCAUUUCUAAAUACCAAAUUUACUGUUGGAUCUCUGAGAUGUUGAAUGCUUUGACAAAAUGUGCAAGGUAUACACUUUUUUAUACACAAAUACAAAUGUAUACGCCCGAAAACACUGCCCUCUGCUGUAACUAUUGGUUGGCCCCGAACGAUUAGUUACGAGAAGUGUACUCCCUUGAAGAAUGGAAAAUAUAAAUCUACAAUAAAGAAAGCUAAGAAUGUACACAAAUCCCUGGUCAAGAAUCGGAAGGACCAUACACGAAUCCUUUAGCGGCAAGACUAAUUUUCUUUUGGAAAAUCGACACUGAGAAAUGCCUAAGAUGUCACAAGCUAAGGAGAAGAUCAAGCCGAGCGAAGAUCCUGGACAACGGUCAGAACUUUGAGAUCUAUGGCAAAGAAUCCAAAGGACAGUUCAUCCAGGACACCUGUCUGCUGACAUUAGCCAAGAAAACUGUACAGGCUAAAACCAAAGAUGCUUUAAGAUCUUUUGGCAAAGACUCCGAGUGACCAUCCCAGGAAAACACACGAAUUAGAGGCUCUUGAAUUAAUAAAAAUUGUCUGUGUAUAAGAAA